UAGGUCGGGGGAGAACGGACAGGCGGGGUAAUGCGAACACCUUUUUUCGAUUUGAUCCUACAGCGACACCAAAAGAGCUACGGUCGCGGUUUCACUGCUCGUUUGUUACGUAACUAAGCAUAGUUUCGCUGAAGCGAAUACGUCGCCAUUGCCGCAAAUCUCGUCAACAUGCUUGCGAUUUGGGUUCUGAAGGGGUCGAUUUUGGAGGGGCGAAAAAGUGGGUAUUUACUAUCAUAUUGAGUUCCAACGUCAAUUGUGGGACCAAAACACCAAGUAUAAGUGUCCAUUUCACCCCAAAAUGGGACACUGUCUCAGAUUUUGAAUUGUUGUUCGAGAAAUAUGUCUAGUAAAUGGAAGAGAAGUAGUAAAAGAUGUUAAUGGAUG